rnacentral:rRNA from 1 species
GCAGUCGAGCGGUUGACGGGAGCUUGCUCCCUGAUUCAGCGGCGGACGGGUGAGUAAUGCCUAGGAAUCUGCCUAUUAGUGGGGGACAACGUUUCGAAAGGAACGCUAAUACCGCAUACGUCCUACGGGAGAAAGCAGGGGACCUUCGGGCCUUGCGCUAAUAGAUGAGCCUAGGUCGGAUUAGCUAGUUGGUGGGGUAAAGGCUCACCAAGGCGACGAUCCGUAACUGGUCUGAGAGGAUGAUCAGUCACACUGGAACUGAGACACGGUCCAGACUCCUACGGGAGGCAGCAGUGGGGAAUAUUGGACAAUGGGCGAAAGCCUGAUCCAGCCAUGCCGCGUGUGUGAAGAAGGUCUUCGGAUUGUAAAGCACUUUAAGUUGGGAGGAAGGGUUGUAGAUUAAUACUCUGCAAUUUUGACGUUACCGACAGAAUAAGCACCGGCUAACUCUGUGCCAGCAGCCGCGGUAAUACAGAGGGUGCAAGCGUUAAUCGGAAUUACUGGGCGUAAAGCGCGCGUAGGUGGUUUGUUAAGUUGGAUGUGAAAGCCCCGGGCUCAACCUGGGAACUGCAUCCAAAACUGGCAAGCUAGAGUACGGUAGAGGGUGGUGGAAUUUCCUGUGUAGCGGUGAAAUGCGUAGAUAUAGGAAGGAACACCAGUGGCGAAGGCGACCACCUGGACUGAUACUGACACUGAGGUGCGA